rnacentral:tRNA from 1 species
GCCGAAAUAGUUCAGAUGGGAGAGCGUCAGACUGAAGAUCUAAAGGUCCCUGGUUCAAUCCCGGGUUUCGGCA